rnacentral:rRNA from 1 species
UACAGAGGAUGCAAGCGUUAUCCGGAAUGAUUGGGCGUAAAGCGUCUGUAGGUGGCUUUUUAAGUCCGCCGUCAAAUCCCAGGGCUCAACUCUGGACAGGCGGUGGAAACUACCAAGCUGGAGUACGGUAGGGGCAGAGGGAAUUUCCGGUGGAGCGGUGAAAUGCGUAGAGAUCAGGAGGAACACCCGUGGCGAAGGCGGCACUCUGGGUCGGCCCUGACGCUGAGGCGCGAAAGCGUGGGGAGCAAACAGG